UACAGAGGUUGCAAGCGUUAAUCGGAAUUACUGGGCGUAAAGCGCGCGUAGGUGGCAAGUUAAGUCGGAUGUGAAAUCCCUGGGCUCAACCUAGGAAUUGCAUUCGAUACUGGCUCGCUCGAGUUUGGUAGAGGAGAGUGGAAUUCCCGGUGUAGCGGUGAAAUGCGCAGAUAUCAGGAGGAACACCGAUGGCGAAGGCAGGUCUCUGGGCCAUUACUGACGCUGAGAAGCGAAAGCAUGGGGAGCGAACAGG
rnacentral:rRNA from 1 species